rnacentral:tRNA from 1 species
AGAAGAUUAGGUUAACUCAAACCAGUAGCCUUCAAAGCUGCAAACAGGGAUUAAACCUCCUUAACUUC